UACGAAGGGGGCUAGCGUUGCUCGGAAUUACUGGGCGUAAAGCGCACGUAGGCGGAUUGUUAAGUCGGGGGUGAAAUCCUGGAGCUCAACUCCAGAACUGCCUUCGAUACUGGCGAUCUCGAGUUCGGGAGAGGUGGAGUGGAACUGCGAGUGUAGAGGUGAAAUUCGUAGAUAUUCGCAAGAACACCAGUGGCGAAGGGCGGACUCACUGGCCCGAGUACCUGACGCU
rnacentral:rRNA from 1 species